rnacentral:rRNA from 1 species
GAUGAACGCUAGCGGCAGGCCUAAUACAUGCAAGUCGAACGCGGGGUAGCAAUACCUCGAGUGGCGCACGGGUGCGUAACGCGUAACCAACCUGCCCUUGGCUGGGGGAUAGCCCGCCGAAAGGCGGAUUAAUACCGCAUAAACCAGCAGCCUGGCAUCAGGCAACUGGUAAAGAUUUAUUGGUCAAGGAUGGGGUUGCGUGACAUUAGCUAGUUGGCGGGGUAACGGCCCACCAAGGCGACGAUGUCUAGGGGACCUGAGAGGGUGAUCCCCCACACUGGCACUGAGAUACGGGCCAGACUCCUACGGGAGGCAGCAGUAGGGAAUAUUGGGCAAUGGGCGAGAGCCUGACCCAGCCAUGCCGCGUGCCGGAUGAAGGCCUUCUGGGUUGUAAACGGCUUUUCUCAGGGAAGAAAACGACCAUGCGUGGUACACUGACGGUACCUGAGGAAUAAGCACCGGCUAACUCCGUGCCAGCCGCCGCAGUAACAC